rnacentral:lncRNA from 1 species
AACCCAGAUGUUUUUAAUUUCUCCCCAUUAAAGGGCAUAGCUUGUUAGGGCUUGUUCUUCCCAAAGUGGUGAUGUAAGCCCUGAGCGUAACAGAGAAGUGGAACCAUCACAAUUGAGCUUGUCAGAUAUUGCAAGACCCUACGUUGUCCUCUUGCUGAUAUUGCAUGACUUUAGAGGCGAAUGGAAGCUGCUGAGAUAUACUGCAUCUGUUCCUGCCCUGAGUGACUGCCUCACUGCUGAGAUGAACAUGGAAGCCCAAAGGUCGAGGCCUCAUUGAGAAGAGGGUUUAGAGGAGCCGGACUAAAGUUUGGUCAAGGAGAGAGUCUGUCCAUAUAUAUAGGUUUAUUGAGAUACAGUUGACAUAUAACAUUGUGAAAGCUCUUCAGAUCAAGAGGAACUGUACUCAAGGGGCUAUAUUUAAGGAACUGUACCUAAGAAGUUCAUCUGUACCUGGUCCUGAAGCCUCAGCCCGACAUUGUGGGUAUUGAGGAAUGAGUAUAUUUUGCAUGUGGGAGAGAUACGAACUGCUGUGGCUAGAAGGUGCACUGUGGAUGCUUACCUUUGGAACCUAGCCACCCUGGUAUGAGGAAGCCUGGGCCACAUACAGAAGCCAUGUUUUUGGAAGCUGAGAAGUCUGAGAUCAAGGCACCUGCAGAUUCGGUGUCUGUUGAGAGCCCACGUCCUGGUUCAUAGAAGGCUGUCUUCUCGUUGUAUCCUCACAUGGUGGAAGACGCAAGAGAGCUCUCUGGGGUUUCUUUUAUAAG